UAGGAGGCAGUAUCGUCCUUCACACAGUGUUUCCAGCUCCAGGUGCAGAUGGUCGCGUGUUCAUGUCGAGUGUUUGGACCUUGAAUGCACCACGGCCUCCAACUGCGCUUGUUCAAAGUGCUCCGGCUGCACUGCCCCGUCCUUGGCGCCUCCUCCUCCUGCCUGCAGCUCACCGCGUUUCGGAGGGAUGCAGCGAUCCUCCUGCGGCCCUGAACCAUCGCCAGGUCGUCUCUGAACCGCCGCCUGGAAAAAAUACAUUUCCCACAGGCCCCCCCGCUGCCGCUGUGUGCUGGAGGGAUUAUCUAACGAGAAGACAGCAGCUCUCACUCCCGGGUUCCUCCAGCCAGCCGCCAUCUGACAGGCAGGACGGCCCGAUUCUUUACAUGGCCAGUUGGGCCCAGCAAGACUCCAGUAAGACUCCUUUUCAUUCACCACCUCUCCCUCCUUUACUCCCUGUCUCGGAUGGUAAAGGAUGUGCUCAUUUGUGUUUGUAUUCAGUAUUAAUUUUGAUACAAAUAC